GACGAACGCUGGCGGCGUGGAUUAGGCAUGCAAGUCGAACGGUAGGAUACCUUCGGGUAUCUGAGAGUGGCGAACGGGUGAGUAACACGUAGGUGAUCUACCCUCAAGAUUGGGACAACCCAGGGAAACUUGGGCUAAUACCGGAUGUGAGCAACUUUUAGUUGUUUGAAAGGUGGCGUAAGCUGUCGCUUGGGGAUGAGCCUGCGUCCUAUUAGUUAGUUGGUGAGGUAACGGCUCACCUAGGCAAUGAUAGGUAGGCGGCCUUAACGGGUGGUCGCCCACACUGGGAUUGAGAUACGGCCCAGACUCCUACGGGAGGCAGCAGUCGAGAAUAGUCUACAAUGGUCGGAAGACUGAUAGUGCGACGCCGCGUGAACGAUGAAUCCCUUCGGGGUGUAAAGUUCUUUUAUAUGUGAGCAGUGCUUCUUAUAUUAACAGUAUGGGGAAGAGAUAUUAGCAUAUGAAUAAGCAACGGCUAACUCCGUGCCAGCAGCCGCGGUAA
rnacentral:rRNA from 1 species